GACGAACGCUGGCGGCGCGCUUAACACAUGCAAGUCGAACGGAAAGGCCCUGCUUUUGUGGGGUGCUCGAGUGGCGAACGGGUGAGUAACACGUGAGUAACCUGCCCUUGACUUUGGGAUAACUUCAGGAAACUGGGGCUAAUACCGGAUAGGAGCUCCUGCUGCAUGGUGGGGGUUGGAAAGUUUCGGCGGUUGGGGAUGGACUCGCGGCUUAUCAGCUUGUUGGUGGGGUAGUGGCUUACCAAGGCUUUGACGGGUAGCCGGCCUGAGAGGGUGACCGGCCACAUUGGGACUGAGAUACGGCCCAGACUCCUACGGGAGGCAGCAGUGGGGAAUAUUGCACAAUGGGCGGAAGCCUGAUGCAGCAACGCCGCGUGCGGGAUGACGGCCUUCGGGUUGUAAACCGCUUUCGCCUGUGACGAAGCGUGAGUGACGGUAAUGGGUAAAGAAGCACCGGCUAACUACGG
rnacentral:rRNA from 1 species